AUACGUAGGUGACAAGCGUUAUCCGGAAUUACUGGGCGUAAAGCGCACGCAGGCGGUCAGAUAAGUCUGAUGUGAAACCUUCUGGCUUAACCAGAAGACGUCGUUGGAUACUGUUUGACUUGAGGCGAUGAGAGGAAUGCGGAAUCCCCGGUGUAAUGGUGGAAUAUGUAGAUAUCGGGGGGAACAUCUGAGGCGGAAGCGGCAUUCUGGCAUUAGCCUGACGCUCAUGUGCGAAAGCGUGGGGAGCAAACGGGAUUAGAUACCCCGGUAGUCCACGCUGUAAACGAUGAAUACUAGGCGUAGGUGGAGUUAAACCCAUCUGUGCCGAAGCAAACGCAUUAAGUAUUCCGCCUGGGAAGUACGGCCGCAAGGCUAAA
rnacentral:rRNA from 1 species